UGGGGAAUAUUGCACAAUGGGGGAAACCCUGAUGCAGCGACGCCGCGUGAGCGAAGAAGUAUUUCGGUAUGUAAACUUCUAUCAGCAGGGAAGAUAAUGACGGUACCUGACUAAGAAGCCCCGGCUAACUACGUGCCAGCAGCCGCGGUAAUACGUAGGGGGCAAGCGUUAUCCGGAUUUACUGGGUGUAAAGGGUGCGUAGGCGGCUUUGCAAGUCAGAUGUGAAAUCUAUGGGCUCAACCCAUAAACUGCAUUUGAAACUGUAGAGCUUGAGUGAAGUAGAGGCAGGCGGAAUUCCCCGUGUAGCGGUGAAAUGCGUAGAGAUGGGGAGGAACACCAGUGGCGAAGGCGGCCUGCUGGGCUUUAACUGACGCUGAGGCACGAAAGCGUGGGUAGCAAACAGGAUUAGAUACCCUGGUAGUCCACGCUGUAAACGAUGAUUACUAGGUGUGGGGGGUCUGACCCCUUCCGUGCCGGAGUUAACACAAUAAGUAAUCCACCUGGGGAGUACGGCCGCAAGGUUGAAACUCAAAGGAAUUGACGGGGGCCCGCACAAGCAGUGGAGUAUGUGGUUUAAUUCGAAGCAACGCGAAGAACCUUACCAGGUCUUGACAUCCAACUAACGAAGUAGAGAUACAUUAGGUGCCCUUCGGGGAAAGUUGAGACAGGUGGUGCAUGGUUGUCGUCAGCUCGUGUCGUGAGAUGUUGGGUUAAGUCCCGCAACGAGCGCAACCCUUGCUAUUAGUUGCUACGCAAGAGCACUCUAAUAGGACUGCCGUUGACAAAACGGAGGAAGGUGGGGACGACGUCAAAUCAUCAUGCCCCUUAUGACCUGGGCUACACACGUACUACAAUGGAUGUUAACAGAGGGAAGCAAGACAGUGAUGUGGAGCAAACCCCUAAAAACAUUCUCAGUUCAGAUUGCAGGCUGCAACCCGCCUGCAUGAAGAUGGAAUUGCUAGUAAUCGCGGAUCAGCAUGCCGCGGUGAAUACGUUCCC
rnacentral:rRNA from 1 species